rnacentral:rRNA from 1 species
AUUGACCGCUGGCGGCAGGCCUAACACAUGCAAGUCGAGCGGAGCGGCGGACGGGUGCGUAAUGCCUAGUAAUCUGCCUGUUAGUGGGUGAUAACGUCCGGAAACGGGCGCUAAUACCGCAUACUAUCAGAUGAGCCUAGGUCGGAUUGGCUAGUUGGUGGGGUAAAAGCCUACCAAGGCGACGAUCCGUAACUGGUCUGAUAGAAUGACCAGCCACACUGGAACUGAGACACGGUCCAGACUCCUACGGGAGGCAGCAGUGGGGAAUAGUGAACAAGGGGCGCAAGCCUGAUGCAGCAAUGCCGCGGGUAUGAAGAAGGCCUUCGGGUUGUAAAGUACUUUCAGCGGGGAGGCGUUACACGGAGAAGAAGCACAGGCUAACUCCGUGCCAGCAGCCGCGGUAAUAC